UACGUAGGAUGCGAGCGUUGUCCGGAAUUAUUGGGCGUAAAGAGAACGUAGGCGGUUUGUUAAGUUUGGGCUUAAAGACUGGGGCUCAACCCCAGGAGUGGCUCGAAAACUGACAGACUAGAGGAUGGCAGAGGAAAGUGGAAUUCCCGAGUGUAGCGGUGAAAUGCGUAGAUAUUGGGAGGAACACCAGUGGCGAAAGCGACUUUCUGGGCCAUUCCUGACGCUGAGGUUCGAAAGCUCGGGGAGCAAACAGG
rnacentral:rRNA from 1 species